GAGUUUGAUCAUGGCUCAGGACGAACGCUGGCGGCGUGCUUAACACAUGCAAGUCGAACGGAAAGGCCCUUCGGGGUGCUCGAGUGGCGAACGGGUGAGUAACACGUGGGUGAUCUGCCCUGCACUUUGGGAUAAGCCUGGGAAACUGGGUCUAAUACCGAAUACACCUCAUGGGCUGCAUGGUUUGUGGGGGAAAGCUUUUGCGGUGUGGGAUGGGCCCGCGGCCUAUCAGCUUGUUGGUGGGGUGAUGGCCUACCAAGGCGACGACGGGUAGCCGGCCUGAGAGGGUGACCGGCCACACUGGGACUGAGAUACGGCCCAGACUCCUACGGGAGGCAGCAGUGGGGAAUAUUGCACAAUGGGCGCAAGCCUGAUGCAGCGACGCCGCGUGAGGGAUGACGGCC
rnacentral:rRNA from 1 species